rnacentral:rRNA from 1 species
AGAGUUUGAUCAUGGCUCAGAACGAACGUUGGCGGCGUGGAUUAGGCAUGCAAGUCGAACGAAUCCCGGUAGCAAUAUCGGGGGAAGUGGCGAAAGGGGCAGUAAGGCAUGGGUAACCUACCCCGGGGACUGGGAUAGCCUUUCUAACGAGAGGGUAAUACCGGGCGAUGUAAGCGAGGGGCGUCUCUUGCUUACGAGAUGAAUUUCGCCUCGGGAGGGGCUCAUGUAGUAUUAGCUAGUUGGUAGGGUAACGGCCUACCAAGGCUGAGAUGCUUAGCGGGUGUGAGAGCACGACCCGCGCCACUGGCACUGAGACACUGGCCAGACUCCUACGGGAGGCUGCAGUCGAGGAUCUUCGGCAAUGGGCGCAAGCCUGACCGAGCGACGCCGCGUGGACGAUGAAGGCCUUCGGGUUGUAAAGUCCUUUAGUGGGGGAGAAAAGCGCAAGCUUGAUCUAUCCCAAGAAUAAGCACGGGCUAAGUUCGUGCCAGCAGCCGCGGUAAGACGAACCGUGCGAACGUUGUUCGGAAUCACUGGGCUUAAAGGGCGCGUAGGCGGUCUGCCAAGUCCGGGGUGAAAUCCUCCAGCUUAACUGGAGAAGUGCCUUGGAUACUGGCGGACUCGAGCGAGGCAGGGGUUGUGGGAACUUCCGGUGGAGCGGUGAAAUGCUGAUAUCGGAAGGAACGCCGGUGGCGAAAGCGCACAACUGGUCCUCUUCUGACGCUGAGGCGCGAAAGCCAGGGGAGCAAACGGGAUUAGAUACCCCUGUAGUCC